rnacentral:lncRNA from 1 species
GCUGCUGCUGUUGUUAGAUUUGUUGCUACUGGAGACUUUAGACCACCUCCAUCAAAAUUUUUAUUUGCUACAUGAGUGCAGCGAUCUGUACGUCCGUAGUGAUCACAGGAUACGAGAAUUUGAGUUCUACCACCGAAGGUGGGAGAGGAACAUCUUUCCAACGGAAAGACUGUCUCAUCGAUCCAAUCAAAUAUUGGACUCUAGUUUUUGGCAUGAUUGAUGGUGGUAUCAUUUUUCUCUUUCCUGACGUGUCAAUCUGUUGCAGCCAACUCCCUAUCGCCUGUUGUUGGUGAAAAGCACUUGCAAGACAAAGUCCUCACAGAUCGGAGUUAUGUCCGGUGGGGAUCCUCCGAUACUUAAGUCAGAGAGGGGCUUGGUGAACAGCUAAGAAUAUUGAAAGUG